GUAGAGAGUUGUACAGGGAGGUAGAAUUAUAAUGCUACAACUGUUAGAGAUGGUAUAUUGUGUAGAGGGUUGUACAGGGUGGUAGAAUUAUAGAGCUACAACUGUUAGAGAUGGUAGAUUGUGUAGAGGGUUGUACAGGGUGGUAGAUUGUGUAGAGGGUUGUACAGGGUGGUAGAAUUAUAGAGCUACAACUGUUAGAGAUGGUAGAUUGUGUAGAGGGUUGUACAGGAUGGUAGAUUGUGUAGAGGGUUGUACAGGGUGGUAGAUUGUGUAGAGGGUUGUACAGGGUGGUAGAAUGUGUAGAGGGUUGUACAGGGUGGUAGAUUGUGUAGAGGGUU